rnacentral:rRNA from 3 species
UACGAAGGGGGCUAGCGUUGCUCGGAAUUACUGGGCGUAAAGGGCGCGUAGGCGGAUCGUUAAGUCAGAGGUGAAAUCCCAGGGCUCAACCCUGGAACUGCCUUUGAUACUGGCGAUCUUGAGUAUGAGAGAGGUAUGUGGAACUCCGAGUGUAGAGGUGAAAUUCGUAGAUAUUCGGAAGAACACCAGUGGCGAAGGCGACAUACUGGCUCAUUACUGACGCUGAGGCGCGAAAGCGUGGGGAGCAAACAGG